CUCCCAGACCAGCUUCAGGCCCCCGAUCAGCGGGCCUGCCUCGCAGGUGUUUUGUUAACCUCGUUUCGAACCAGAUCCGCCGGAGAGAAAUACAUUUUAAAACCACGUGCGCUUUAAGGAGAAUUUAAUCUGCAUGUCUGGGAUUCAUUAACACGUAGAUCAUCAAAUUAAGGGCUGGCUUUGGAGCACUCCGUUCUUCAAAUAGGACCGCGACGCACGAGAUGAGGGGGUGGCAGGACCCAUCCCUGCAAGGUGCUGCUGGCCGCGGGGAGGUCGGCCCGGAGCCAUUCAGCUGUUCUCUCCGUUUCUGCUCGCCGACCGGCUCUGGCCCAAACGGCCCCGUCUCCAUGCCCUUCUCCAGAUUGCUGAACCCUUCUUCAUGCUGGAGCAAGAACCCCAGCACUUGUAAAAAGGGGGCUCUGGGGUGUGGAGACACAGAGGGAAGGUGAUGUGAAGACACGGGAGGAAGACGGCCACAAGCCAAGGAGAGAGGACCAGGCUCCCCCUCUCGGCCUCAGAAGGAGUUGGCUUGCCAACCUUGAUCUUGGACUUCUGGUUUCUAGAACUGGGAGGCAUAGGUUUCUGUUGCGUAAGCCCCCAAGUCUGUGGUAUGUUGUCAUAGCAGCCCCAGCAACCCCCCUUUGAACUUUUCCAUCAUGAAAACCAACACAUCAUUUUUCUAUCUUUAUUUUGUCCCGUAAGCCAAUUUGUGUUGAGUCUUUCAUUGAA